AUUUAAAUAGCUUAUAUUUAGAGCAUUACGUUGAAGUUGUAAUUGAGAUUGUUUUAAUCUUUAAAUA
rnacentral:tRNA from 1 species